UUGACAAAAGGCUGCUUUGCCUUCUUCUCCGGCUAGUGAUGUUAAGCUGCACCCUACCUAACUGCAAAAUGAGGAAGCAUUUUUGCUGAUGUCAACAUUUUCAAGAAGAAAGUAGUAUCUGCCCCUCACAUACAGGCGAUACCUUGCUGUUUAUGGUAACUCGGAAGGAGGAUGCUGUAGUCCUAAUUGUGUCUUGUUAGUUGAAGAGAUGGGAUAUUAGCUCAUCCGCCUACCGAAAGAAUACCUUUGCUGCCACAGUAGAAACCAAUUGGGUCCUAUAUCGUGAAGCUGGGAGAAGCUGUAGUGGUGCCAUCAACACUCAUUGAUACCGGGGCCUUCAACCUUGUAUUAUUUGAAGUAAAGUUAAAAGGGUUUGUGAAACUUUUAUCACUGUUUUUAUUCUAACCAUUCUUUCCCCCUCUUUCAGAGUCUGCUGAUUUUCUUUGUUUAGCAAGUAUCGGUUCCUUUGGACAGUGAAGGCUCCAUGUUAGACAUUGUUUCGACAGUUUCACUGGGAAUCAAAGAUUUGUCGGUCUUAAUUUGUCUGGUUAUCGGGUGUUUAUUGUUUUAGGUAAAUGUUUUUGGUGUAGGCAAACUGAUCAUCUCUAUAUUGUACGAGGUUCGGUCAUAAUUUCGAAGCAUAUGGACUAGUUUUGGUGAAUUAGGUGCUUCCUUCAUUUAGUUUGUGUUGACAUUAGUAUAUAGCCCUUGGGGGCUAGGAAUUUGUAACAAACUUUUCUCUUGUUCUUAAACCACUAUUUUAUCAAGUAUAUGGUGAACUUUCCUCUUUUAGUUCAUGUCUUCCAAACCCUUGUGAAUUAGUUUGUAAAAUUGGGUUUAGUGGCCCUUUUACAAACCCACCAACCAAAAAUAGUCGUCUUGAAAUGCCCUCUUUGACCAAAAUACCCUUGUUACCGACGCAAUAUUGGUAGAUUAUUGGCUUAAUCUUGAGGUAUUUUCGUCAUAGAGGACAAGUAGAGAUUGCAUUCUGCGAGGAGGGUUAAUUUUGGUUGGUGUAUUUGGAAAAUCAUUAUUUUUAUCUACUGUGCAUAAUUUUCACAAAAUUACUGUGGUGAAGUCUUUCCUAUGUGGUAUGGUAAUUUUUUUCAAAGUCUCAUCUAUAUGUGAUGUUAAAAUACCUCUAAUAUUAAAAAAAAAAAAUAUUUUAUUUGUCACGUGGCAGACAUUUGGCAGCCACGUGUCAUAUAUGUGGCAGCCACGUCAGCAUUUAACAGAUCCAUGGAUGGAAAAUCUAACGGUUGUAUGAAAUUGAAAUAAAAUAGUACUUGAGGUAUGAAAGUGAAAUGUUUUAAAGAUGUUGUAUAAGAUUGCAAUAGACCUCAAACCUGAGAGGUUACUAUGUAAUUUACCCUAUAUUUUCCCUAUGAAAGUAUAUGACUCAACAAAGACCUCUCUUACAAGUGAAGACAAAUACCAUUAUACAAAGAUAAAUACCAUUAAACCAUAAUACAAACUGCCAAACCAUUUCAAUUAUAAAAUUUCAACAAUAAAAAGUGCUACAUUAAAAAUAAAUAAAUAAAAUAUCAAUAGUGAGGACGCUGAAUUAUUUAGAGACAAGGAUUGUCUGCCCUUGCUCUCCCGUGCCCUCCUGUUUAUAUGGUUACGGUUAAGUCACGUUAAUAUUUUAUAUUAUUAUUCAAUUUUGUUUUAUUAUAUUUAUAAAAAAAAUAAUAUAAAAUAUUAACGUGACUUAAUCGUGAUUACAUAAAACAGGAGAGCACGGAACGAAAGAACACCGGAAGUGGAGGGGUCCAUUAUUUAGACAUCCACGAAGUCAACUAAAAAGCUACGUCCUGCUGCGUCGUUUUCUUCCUCUCUAUUUCAGCAACAAACGAAGAAAAAAAAAAAAAAAAAAAAAACAAGCGAUCAGAGAGAGAGAAUCAGAGCGAGAGAGUGGAAAUUCCAUCGCUGUGAGGACCGUACGCGUAAGGCUGGGAAUGGAUGAAGAAGAAGGAAGAGACUGCAUUGAUUUUUCGAUGAAGAUUGGUCCGAAUCCGUGAGAUUCACGCAAAUCCAAUCCCUCAGAUCGAUUUGCUCUGCAUUGAUUUCUCUGCAUUGAUUUCUCUUCUCUCUUUCUCUGCUCGUUUCCUAGUCGAUUUUUUUGGAAUAAACAAAUGAACGGCGGCGGAGAGGGCCUCGCGGCUCUGGCGACGUCAGGGGUGGCCGUAUCGCCGCUCGAGUGGAAGUUUGCGAAGGUCUUCGGAGAAAGGACCGCCGGCGAAGAAGUUCAGGAAGGUAAGAGUAAUACUCUUCCCCUGAUUUUCGUUUCGUUUCGUAUUGUUAGGGAUUCACUAUUGCUUUCGUUCUCAUUACGUUUAAUACUAUUAAUUUAAUGUUAAAUACAUUUAGCGGAUGAUUUGUUGCAGAAAUUGUGUAUUGAAUGAUGAGAAUCGUGAGGCGCGAAAGAAAUUUAAUCGAAAAAGUUUGGUCUUUUGAUGACCGAAGCAUUUGAGCUGAAUACUUAAGUUAUUGGCUGGUGGUUUUGUGGCUAUUAUUGAUGAAGCUAUACAUUUGGAGGUUGUCUAUUUGUGUAGCUGUUAGUUUUUAUUUUUCUUUUAAUUUAAUUCACUACAUUUUGGGCUCGUUGGAAGUGCUUUUAAAAUGAUUGAAAGCACUUUUAGAGAAAAUGUGUUUGGUUCCAAAAGCACUUGAAGUGCUUUCUGUAAGAAGCACCAGUUAUGUGCAUUGUUCAGAAAGCUAAGUGUUUUUCAAUGAUUUACUUCCAUUUUCACUCAGGGUUGGUUCUAAAAACAUUUUCACCAAAAACUCUUUCAGCCAUUUUAAAAGCACUUUCAAACGAGUUAUGAUGUUGAUUAGUAUAGGGAUUCAUUUUCGAACAUAUUGUUGCGAUCGAUACGUGUAGAGCUAUAUUUUUAAACUUAAAAGGCCCUAGAUUUGAGAAAUAAGUGAACUUGUUAAUCAAGUGUGAAGAACGCGUCAUUUGCGAUCAAUAGCUAUACUUAUAUACCCGCUUUUGAAUUUCUGAAAAAGAUACUUUAUAGAGUGUUUGAGGGCAUUGAAGUGCUUUGGUGCAGAAUUACUUAGGUUUGCUUACUUGCUGGUUGUUUUUGCAGUUGAUAUAAUAUCCGCUAUUGAAUUUGAUAGAACGGGGGACCACCUUGCCACUGGAGAUUGUGGAGGCCGCGUGGUUUUAUUUGAAAGAACUGAUAUAAAGGAUGUAAGUUAAUACAUUUUUCUUUUGAGGGGUUUGGGGCAUGGAUGUGCAUUUUCCUUGUACAUAAUAUGCCGUUAUAUUUGUUACACUGGUGUGAUUUAGUUGUACUUUGAUGGUAUAAACUUAAAUAAUUAGCAUGGUGGACACCGGAGAGAUCUGGAGAGGAUGGAUUAUUCAAUCAGUGGGCAUCCUGAGUUCCGCUAUAAAACUGAAUUCCAGAGUCAUAAAAUCGAGGUAUGGCUUUCUUUGUGCUUAACGAGGACAAGUAUAAAUAGGCUUAUGGAGAUUUCCUCUUUGCUGGAAUCUGGAUUUGACUAACUUGCAUCCUAACUUGCAUCUUGGUUUUUCCUGAACUCAGUUUGAUUAUCUUAAGAGCUUGGAAAUUGAGGAAAAAAUCAACAAGAUCAGAUGGUGUCAAACAGCUAACGGUGCACUGUUUCUCCUCUCCACUAGUAGCAAAACCAUCAAAUACUGGAAGGUAGCACCAACCUUUUGAACUCGUAUGUGGUUAGAUUAUUAUAUAAAAGAUGAUUUCUCUCGAUAUCACAUCUUCCAGAGUAAUUUUAGCGACAUUAGUUGCAUUGCCCUUUCCAUUUAUAUAUUGUUCGGAACAAAGAUGGCGAUUACUUCAGCCAUUUCAUUUUAUACAUUAUUCUUGGAACAAAGAUGGUGAUUACUUUAGCCAUUUCAUUUUAUACAGUAUUCUUGGGAUGACCACAAAGUUUUGCAACACCUCCAAUUUUUUUCCCUUUCUUAUCAACCUUCUUCUUUUGCAAUUCUCCUUGGUUCGCCGCUCUUUUUUUUCCCUUCCUAGUAGCUUGCCUUAGAUCCUGCAUAGUCUCACUUUCUUCCUCAUCAUCUAAAUCAAUUUGUCCUACGGACUACUCUCUUGUCUCCGUUGGUAGUACUCCAGAUGAAGGUGCCCAGGCAUGUUCACCGGUAGCAACUGUGUUCGAAAACAUCCUAUCUAACUUUUCAUCCAUCUCAAGACUAAUGCCCUUUUUUCGCAAUUUUCCAUAUUCUUUGUUUAUCUACAAGUAAAGAAAGAAUAUGGUUAAUACAUAUUGCAUGAUAUCAUAAUACAUAUUAAAAGAUAAAUACACAAACCUGAAUUUUAUUAUUCCACCACUCCUCAGAUGCAUCAACGGUACCCUUGCUCGAAUUCCACCCUAGGCCAUUGUCUUUACAAACUAGCACUUUCCACAACUUCCACUCUUUUUAAGUGCAUCCCACUUAUUUUUCAGUUGCUUUCUUUCAUAAUCAUGCCCUGUCUUUGCCUUGAAGUUAGCUCUAAUAUUUGCAUAUCCAUCUUUGUCAAAGUGAGUGCCCAGACGAUGUCCAGCCUCAACCUCCUUGAUGCAUACAUCACAAAAUAUAGAUAUAUUGUGGGCAUUCCAUGUAGCUGUAGGAUUUGACAAAGAUGCCCCCUUCUUUGCCAUCGAUACCAACCAGUGAUUUAUAUAUAUUUAUAUUAAAACAAGAACAAAUAAUAUUGUAAUGUAACCAAGCAGAAAACAGGUAGUAAACCUAACAUAAGCAGAAGCAACUCGCAAUCAUAUAUAUGUGUGUGUGUUGGAGGUUUUCAAUGAUAAUCAUGAUUCAGCCAGUCCCUUUGAUAUACCAAAUAAACAUACAAUGCAUCUAGCAUAUGCAUGAAAAAGAAUAUAGAUGCAGGGAAUUCGUAGUUGUUGCUCACGGUCACAAUUGCCAUUGGAUAACCCAAGUGAAAAAACAAACCCACAUUGCAGGAAACAGGUAGUGUGUUUAAGAAACAAACAAACAAAGUACAUAAACAAAAAUUAAAAAUAAAAAAGGGCAGAAAAAGAGGAGGAGAUUUGGGGUCAUGGAUCUCAUGAUAACAAACAGAGCAACACUAUAGUUGCCAAUCAAACCCUAAGAACUGAAAUUGCUUCAUGGAUCUCAUGAUAAUAAUUAGAACCUUAAUUCAAACCCCAAAACUGAAAUUUAGAGAAUUAAUUCAAACCCCAAAACUGAAAAUUAGAACAUUAAUUCAAACACCAAAACUGAAAUUGCUUCAACGAUGGAAGAGAGAGAGAGAGAGAGAGAGAGAGAGAGGGAGAGGGAGAGGGAGAGGGAGAGAGAGAGUUAUGUUUACCUAAUCAAUGAGAUCGAGCUCGUUCGUUGGUUGGCAAAUAAACCCUGCUUCAGAAAACCCCAAAAAAAUCGGUUCAUCAUCCAUGUUAGCUGCUAGAACCAAACCCUGAAUUAAAAUUAAACUACAAAAAUAGAAGCAAACUGGAGAGAGCAGCCAAACACUAACCUUAAAAUUAAAUUAAUUAAUUACAGCAAAUCGAGUACCUGCUACCUGGAAGGCGACGGCGGUGUGGCGCUGAGAACGACGGAGAGAGAGGAAAAUGAGGAGUUGUGCAGCGGCAGGAGGGAAGAGGGGCGUGCGGAGUGUUUUGCGAGAGAGAAGAGGGCGUGCGAAGUGUUUUGAGGAAUCAGGAGAAAGGAGAAAGGAGAAAGGAGGGGGCAGUAUUGGCAAUUUGGAAAAAUUCAUUAACAAAGUACUGUAGCUCCGUGUUUUGUUUAAUAAGCCGCUUCUUGAAGCUGCUUUUUGCAGCUUCCACUUUUUGGCUUUUUUUCAUCUGAAACUUUGAAAUAAAGCUGUUUUGGGAUGUUUACCAAACACCAAAAACUCUCCCAGCUUUUUUUCAUACCAGCUUUAUUAAAAAUCACCUCAACCCCGAACUGGGGCUAAAUCUAUGGAAAAUGGUGCAGUUGCUAGUUCCAUGUCAGCAAUCUCAAAACCGUAUCUUGCAAAUGGAGCAUGUAAAGACAGACCCGUCAGUUCUCCAAGCAAUGACACUUCAUUUCCAUCUCUGCACUUGCCAGUGGUAGUUGUACACUAUUUGAUUUGUUUAUUUUGUGACAGCAUAUGGUUUUGCCUUAUGAUAUUUCGAAAAUUUUCCAGAGUCAAUUGUGCUUUACUUUCUUGGUGAAUGACAACCUAUUAUUUAGCUCUAACACUUGACCAUUUGUGGCAUCCAGGUGACCGGUCAAGAGACGAGCCUUGUGGCUAGAUGUCGAAGACUCUAUGCCAAUGCUCAUGACUAUCAUAUUAAUUCGAUUUCAAAUAACAGGUACAUCUUUUUUUUUUCAAUGGAAUAUGCCUUCACCUUUUCAUCUAUUUUUAAUCUUGUUGUGUAUGUUCAGUGUUUGCCUUGAUGCUUGUGCUCCUAUUUGAAAAUUCUAUUAUUUAAUUACCUUAUCAUGGAGGAGCCAAUUGUGUAGUUGUCGGACUUCCCCCACCCCCAAAAGAAAAAAAAAAACCAGUUUCUGUAGCACACGGUGACACUAAAGAACAAUUUAUGUCACUAGAUGAAAAAGAUUUAUCUUCGAUGUCGAGUCUUGCUAAUAUGCAUUAUGCAGUAUAUUCUUUGGUAUUAUUGCAUGGAUAUAAUCUAACAAGGUCUCCAUCUUCUGGUCACUAAUAAUGUAGCUAUCUUUUGGUUUUGCAGCGGUGGUGAAACUUUUUUAUCAGCUGAUGACCUUCGAAUUAAUCUUUGGAACCUAGAGAUUAGCAAUCAAAGUUUUAAUAUUGUUGACAUGAAGCCGGUAAACAUGGAGGAUCUAACUGGUAGAACCCACAACACUAUGAUGACAAUUGCUUACUUUCCUAGCUUUUAACUAUCAUUUGAAGAGAAAUGGCAGUAGACAUAACCUUGACCCAAUUAUUUGGGCCUGCUACAAGGCUCCUGGUCUUCCAUUCGGUCAUAUUCUGGAUAAUGUUUCAUUAAAUGGCAUGCUAUUAUGUCUUUCUUAGAUUUCAUCUGUUUCUAUUUACUUUGAUCUCCCUUUUCAUUAGGUUUGGAUGGCUGAAAUGUUCUGGCCAUGUAGUAAACUUGAAUUAUGCCUUAUUUAUAUGCUUUGUUUGUCAAACAGCUCCACAUGUGUAAUUAUUUAUCUUUACAUACUUGAAAUUUAUGUGCAGAGGUGAUAACAUCCGCUGAAUUUCACCCUACUCAUUGUAACAUGUUGGCAUACAGUAGCUCAAAAGGCUCAAUUCGUCUUAUAGAUCUGCGGCAGUCAGCUUUAUGUGACACUCAUAGCAAAUUGUGAGUCAUCUUUCAUUCUUCCUUCCUUCCAUUCUUGGACUCAUCAAAGAUGAUUUAGUAUUAUAAUAAAAUAAAUGUAUGAGAAAUCUUUUGACAUUUUUUGCCGUCUUUAAUUUCUUGGUUUGCUUUGAAUCGUAAUUAUGAUUUGUAAUGGUGCAGGUUUGAAGAACAAGAAGCGCCCGGCUCAAGAUCUUUUUUCACUGAAAUAAUAGCAGCAAUUUCAGAUAUUAAGUUUGCUAAGAACGGAAGACAUAUACUAAGUCGGGAUUACAUGACUCUUAAGGUUCAUAUAUUCAUACUCUUAUAAUAAGAUGGUUCAUACUUCCAAUAUUUAGAAACUUCAGUAUCAUUUGUCCUAGAAACAAAGUUGCAAGUAACAAACACUUGAAAACCUUAUUUUCCCUCCCUCCCUCCCUUCCUUCCAGUGGAUUGGUGACACGGGCAAUGCCCUCUAUGGGUGCCACCCCUCAACAUCUCACUGUUUCUGCCGUCCCUCCUUCCCUUCCUUUCAGUGGAUUGGUGACAUGAGUGAUGCCCUCUAUGGGUGCCACCCCUCAAUAUCUCACUGUUUCUGUUGAUUCCUCAGCUAAAAUAUUCCUUCCUUCCAUUGGAUUGGUGACAUGGCCAAUGUCCUCUAUGGGUGCCCUCAAUAUCUCACUGUUUGUGCCAUCCCUCUUUCCCUGCCUUCCUUACAGUGGAUUGGUGACGUGGGCAAUGCCCUCUAUGGGUGCAGCCCCCAAUAUCUCACUGUUUCUGUUGCUUCCUCAGCUAAAAUAUGCUAAUGUUGUUACUGUGAUGUUUAGAGUUAGUACUUGAUAUCAUGAUUUUCAAUUUUGUGCUUGUGGUGAGUUUGGGCAUUGCAACUACUUCUUGUCUUCAGAUUUCUCUGAUUCUUAACCCUGUCCGUUACAAUUUUUGUUCUCACCUUUUCUUUUUGGGGUUUCUCAGUUAUGGGACAUCAACAUGGAUUCUGGCCCAGUUGCCACUUUUCAGAUUCAUGAACAUCUAAGACCAAAGGUAAUAUGUUCCUUCAAAAAGUUUGUUUGAUCACAUGUGAUCUUAAAAGAAGACGAGACCAUUUAAGUAAUACCAUACAAUGCAACUUAUUAAGUUCUUUACCUUUCUCAGCUCUGUGAUUUAUACGAAAAUGAUUCUAUCUUCGAUAAGUUUGAGUGCUGUCUAAGUGGAGAUGGACACCGAGUGGCAACAGGUUCUUACAGGUUAGACUUACACCAUACACAUCCUUUGUUGCUUUUACACUUACACCCUGACCUAAGCAGUGUGGGGCUCAACGUAUGAAGAAACACAUUUCUGUGAUUCCAGCAAUCUGUUUCGAGUGUUUGGUUGUUCUGAAGGGAGCACAGAAGCAACAACAUUGGAGGCCAGCAAAAACCCCCUGAGGUAUCUUUUUUAAAUUCUAUAUAUGCUCGUCAGGCAUGCUAUUGUUAGGGCAUAGUAUCAUUUUGGUCCAAGAAAAACUCUUGUUUAUUUUCUUUUGUUCUCUUGGUCAAAUGUGCUUAUAAUUUUUCUCAUGAACUUCCAGGAGACAAGUUCAAUCUUCGGGCAACCUUCGUCGUGUUAUCAGGCGAGGUAUGUUCUUCCAUCAUAACAUAAAAGGUGCGGAUAACUCUGGAGCUGAUGCAAACGGAAAUCCUUUUGACUUCACAACAAAGUUGCUACAUCUUGCAUGGCACCCUUCUGAGGAUUUAAUCGCCUGUGCUGCUUCAAGCAGCCUAUACAUGUAUUAUGCGUAAAAGUAGUACGGAAAGUUGCUUGUCUUGGCCGGCAAAGCUCUUCUGAUUUCUAUUGACAAAACGUUGCUUGCCUUCUUCUCCGGCUAGUGAUGUUAAGAUUUGUCGGCUUAAUUCGUCUGGUUAUCGGGUGUUUAUUGUUUUAGGUAAAUGUUUUUGGUGUAGGCAAACUGAUCAUCUCUAUAUUGUACGAGGUUCGGUCAUAAUUUCGAAGCAUAUGGACUAGUUUUGGUGAAUUAGGUGCUUCCUUCAUUUAGUUUGUGCUGACAUUAGUAUAUAGCCCUUGGGGGCUAGGAAUUUGUAACAAACUUUUCUCUUGUUCCUAAACCACUAUUUUAUCAAGUAUAUGGUGAACUUUCCUCUUUUUGUUCAUGUCUUCCAAACCCUUGUGAAUUGGUUUGGAAAAUUGGGUUUGGUGGCGCUUUUACAAACCCACCAACCAAAAAUAGUCGUCUCGAAAUGCCCUCUUUGAUGAAAAUACCCUCGUUACCGAUGCAAUAUUGGUAGAUUAUUGACUCAAUCUUAAGGUAUUUUCGUCAGAGGGCAAGUAGAGAUUGCAUUCUACAAGGGGGGCUAAUUUUGGUUGGUGUAUUUGGAAAAGGCUUGUAAGCCCAAUUUCUCAUUAUUUUUUAUCUACUGUGCAUAAUUUUCACAAAAUUACUGUGGUGAAGUCUUUCCUAUGUGGUAUGGUAAUUUUUGUUGUAUCACGUGAGUAGCUCACUGUGAGAAUUCGUCUCGUGCUACUUGUAUUACAUGAGUAGCACGAUUUGUGAGAGAUUUGUUUCGUGUAAUAGAUUCUACUUAUUGUAUUACGUGAGUAGCACGAUCUGUGAGAGAUUUGUAUCAUUGAGCAUGCUUGCUUAAAGAAAAAUUCAAGGGCCAAUUACAUUUAGACACGAGUUGUUUAUGCCCACGUGUGGAGAAAAACUUGUGUGGGGUUUGACUUACUACUGGACUUUGCAUAGUGGCACUACAAUCCACUAAAAAAUCGCCACGUGACAAGUCUUAAAUAUAAUUUUUUUUCCCAUUCUUUUAUAUUUAGGAUUCUCAUAAUUAUAUUUCUCACUAAUUAAUAUACAUCAAUCUAAUGGAUAUAUUUUUUUUGUUUUCUUUCUUUUUUAAAAAAAAUGGGAUAACUGGUGGCAGACCAUGGUUAUCCACUCCAAAUAUUCCCUCCAAUUUAUGUUGCAGGACUCUUUCACUUUCUUCUCUCUCCCACUUCUUUGUCUCUCCGACUAUUUUCUCUCGCUGUUUUUCAUAAAAAAAUUUGUACCCUAAACAAAAUCACUUUCUCCAACUUUUGUCAUGGGAAGCAAUCAAGAAUCUUUAAGUUUUUUCGUUAUUGAUACAAUACUUGAUUUGAUCAAGUGAACUUGACAUGAAUAACCUUUACAUAUAGGCGUAUUAGGGUUAGCCUAAUUUUUUAUUUGUUUUCGUUAACAUGUUUAUCUAAUAUUAGGGCUCAAAUGUUAAUCAAUGUUAUGGUUAAUAUGUUGAUACGAAUUACCCACAUAUUUAUACAAUAAUUUUUUCCGUUCUUUACUAUGAGUAUUUUAUUAAUGUGGUAGUCUUUUUUUAUUUUAUUUUAUUUUCACUUGGUAGGUUGCUGCUAAGACAAUGGAGUUUUAAGAAGAUGUAAAAAUUAAAAUGGUGGUGAAUCCUGACGCUGAAGCCUUUCAAGUACGCAAUGCUUAUGCUAUGAGGAAAGGGUUCAGUCUUCGUAAAGAGCAUAUUCGAAGAGAUAAAACAAAUACUAUUACACAAUGAUAUUGUUUGGGAAGUUAAAGAUGGCAGGCAUGCAGAGGGAGGGAGGGGGGGGGGAUGAACAAAAUAUAAGCCAUUAAAUUGAUGCAUAUUAAUUAGUGAAAAAAAAUAAUUACGUGAAUUUUAAAUAUAAAAGAAUGGGAAAAAAAAUUAUAUUUAAGACUUGCCACGUGAUAAUUUUUUAGUGGAUUGUAGUGUCACUCAGCAAAAUCCAGUAACAUGCCAAACCCCACACAAAAUUUUCUCCCACGAGUGACCGGGUUGAAAUGUGCGUUUACAUUUGUGCUUCAUUAGAUUAUUAUUAUUUUUUUAAUUGUCAUGAUAAGUCACGAUGAGCUUGGACAAAUGAUCUUAUUUAGUAAUUUUUUAAAAUGAUUUAGAAGUACGAUAUAUGGGAAUAUAAUCAUUAAUUAUUUGCAUAUAAAGCCGAUUAUGAUACUCAAUUCAAUAGUUUUAAUGAAAUUGUGAAAUAACUUAUAUAGAACGAGUUUAUUCUUACGUAACAUUCUAAUUUAAUAAUGCAGUCAUUUAGAAUUACAGUCUAGUGGUAUUUUUAUUUAUUAGUAAGUGAGAGGUGAGAGAUGAGAGAUUUUAGGUUUGAAUCUUGUCAAAUACGAAUUUGAACCACAUUAUUGCUUGUCUUUGUGAGAUUUAACCCAUUCGCUCACCCUUAGAGUACAUAAUAUUGUUUAUUCAAAAGAAAAAGGAAUAAUGCAAUGACGUGUAGAGAUAAAAUUACACGCAACAGUAUAUCAUUAGAUCGAGAUGUUAAAAUGUGGCAUAGUUCGUUGUUCACAUUGUAAACACGGAAAUUUCUGAAACAAACGAGACAAGAACACGUGUACAAAAUAAUAUUUUGUAUUAAUGAUUUUGGGGUUACAAUCUCUCUCAAAUUUGAUCAUCUGAUUCGAUCUCCGUAAGAUGUUGAUUUGUGGAUGUGUGAUUGAUCCAAGGGUCAUCGAGGCUUGAUCUUGGAUGAAUGUUUGAAAGUUUCUUCAAGGGCCAUUGGGGUUUGAUCUUGAAGGUCGAGGGAACGGAUCUUCAAGGAGCUUUUGGGCUUGAUCUUGAAGAACAGUUGUGCGGGUUUCUUCAAGGGCUUUUGGGCUUGAUCUUGUGAAAAAUGGGUUAGAGGAUUUGUUAAUGUUGUUGAUCCAAAGGGCCGUUGGGGCUUGAUCUUAGGAUGAAUGGAUGAUGAACGAUGAACACUUUAUUCAAGGGCCGUCGGGACUUGAUCUUGAAUUGGUGAAAGUUCUUCAAGGGCCAUCGGGGCUUGAUCUUGAUGGAGGAUUUGAUGAAGAAUGAAGAGAGCUUUUUUGAUCCUUCGGGAUUUGCUUGGGCGCUUUAGAGUUUUAAAGCUUCAAGGUUUUGGUGUUAUGUGAAUUGGUUAUGAAUUGGUGUCCUAAAAUGAAUGAAAUGGCCUUGUAUUUAUACAAAUUUUCAAGGCCUAAUUUUGAAUAUAAUAUUCAGAUGAAAUAAAUCAUUUCUGCCAGGUGUUGACACGUGUCCUUAUUUGAUGACUUUUUCGAUUUAUUUUGAUUUUUUGUUUAGUCACACUCUACGUGUAAAAUUUAUGUGACAUGUGAGCGUUGAAAUUGUAAUUACUGGUCAACAUUUAUUUCACCAAAAUUUCGAUUUCUACACACAUAUCCCUGACUAGUCAAAUACUCACUCAGACAGUUAUACCACAUUCUUCUGGAUUGUUUCAAACCGUAGUGAAUGCCUUAGCCGAAUUGAGAGCUUGUUCUGGGGUUUGGAAAUAUUUGAAUCAGUCAAUGUAAGUCAUUUGGGAACUUUCAUAUAGAUUACUAUAUCAAGAUCCCCAUAAAGAUACGCGGUUACUACAUCCAUUAGCUGCAUAUCCAUUUUUUGGAAACUACCAAACUGAUAAGGUAACGAAAAGUAAUCACAUCUAUAAUGGGUGAAUAAGUUCCGUCAUAGUCAAUCCCGGGGUGUUGUGAGAAGCCUUGUGCAACAAGACGAGCUUUGUAACGCACAAUUUCGCUUUUCUCAUUACGUUUUCGAAUGAAAACCCACUUGUAGUCAACGGGCUUCAUAUGUGGAGGAGUAGGAGGUACAUGGCCAAACACCUUACGUUUCGUAAGCGAAUCGAGUUUAACUUGGAUUGCUUGUUUCCAGUUUGACAAAUCAGUUCUACGUUGACAUUCAUCAAUGGAACGCGGUUCAAUAUCAUCGCUCAACAUGAUCUCAGUAGUUACUACAAAUGUUAAUGCAUCGUCGACAAUCAUCUCAUUUCUACGCCACACAUCAUCUAAGCUAGCAUAAUAGACUGAAAUCUCACGAUUCUCAGGAGGAUGAUUUGUUUCUUCAAGGUCGCUUCCAUAAUCUAGAAUUUCCUCAUGAGUUGGGUAGAAUGAGUAAGCGAUAGUUGGAUUCACGAUAGGCUCUUCAGAACCUUAUACCGUGGAUUUCCUCUUCCGGAUGUGUGAAUCCUUUGAACCAAGGAGUCUGCCAUACUUUUGUGUAGGGGCAGAUGAUUGGCUAGCAACUAAUGUAUGUGGAUCACCAAGAUUGGCAUCCCGGGCCUCAAGGAGGGAAGUUCAUCGUACAUUUGGUACAUCCAUCUUUGCAGGCGUAUUCGCAGCUGGAAUAUGUGAUCUUGUCAUGCGCGCUAGAUAGGUGAAAGCAUAUGGCAUGCUUUGAGCUAUACUCCGAAGAUUUAAUAUGCGCUGCAUUUCAGUUUCAAACUGAGUAGUACGAGGAUCUAAAUGAGACAAAGUGGGGAUCGUUCACGAUAAUUCGCAUCAUUCUUUAGGAAUGUUGACGUUCUUAUCUCCUUCUAAUGACAAGAAAACUGUCUCAUAGAAGUGACAAUCCGUAAAACAAGCGGUAAACAAAUCACCUUUCAAAGGUUCUAAGUAACGAAUAAUCGAAGGAGAAUAAUAUCCAACAUAGAUUCCCAUCAUUUGUUGAGGCCCCAUUUUUGUACGUAAAGGUGGCGAGAUCGACAUAUAUAUCGCACAACUAAAAACGCGCAGAUGCGAUAUAUCGGGUUUGUAUCUGGUAACCAACUGAAGGGCACUAAAUGGUUGUGUUACAACAGGCCUCAGGCGGACCAACAUUGUUGUGUGCAAUCUUGCAUGGCCCCAAGCAAUGAUCGGGAGCUGGGUACGUAUGACCAACAAUAGAGCAAUCAUUUGUAAGUGCUUAAUGAAAGCCUCUGCCAGGUCGUUCUGGGUGUGAACAUGGGGUACAAGAUGUUCAACAUCAACCCUAACCUACAUGUAAUAGUCAUCAAAAGUUUUAAAUGUGAAAUUUUCAGCAUUAUCCAAUCGAAUAGAUUUGAUCGGAUAAUCAGGGUGGUAAGCCCCGAGCUUGAUAACCUGAGCCAACAGUUUGGAGAAUGCAGCAUUCCUUGUGGACAACAAGCACACGUGUGACCAACAUGUGGAAGCGUCAACUAAAACCAUAAAGUAUCUAAAUGGUCCGCAGGGAGGGUGAAUCGUUCCACAAAUGUCCCCUGAAUUCGUUGUAGAAAAAUGGGAGGAUUCGAACAAAUCUUGUCCUAAGAAGGCUUAGUAAUAAGUUUUCCCAUAGAACAUGUUUGACAUGCGAUUCCUUUGAUUGAACCUAAGCUUCGGGUUAGUGGAUGCCCGUGUGAUGAUUUGGGGAUACGGCGCAUCAUUAUUUGUCCAGGAUAUCCCAAAUGAUCAUGCCAAAGUGUAAUUUCGUGCGCGGUCCCAGUAGUAGGGCCUGCCAUAUAGUGGAAUUCUAUGGGACGUAUGGUCGUAGUAUACAGACCACUCGGGAUACGCUCCAUCUUCUCUAGAAUACGCUUCUGGCCAUAUUCGUAGGAAGUUAUGCACAGAAAUUCAACUCUGUUUUCUAUGUGGGUUUCAACGAGGUAAUUGUUAUCUCUAAUGUCCUUGAAAUUUAACGUUAUUCCGGAAUGUGGAGAAUAGAGUGCCUUAACAAUAGUCAAGAUUGUACCAUUGGACAACAUUAUAUGUGCCUUACCGUAUCUUUCAAUCAUGUUGGAUGAGCCUGAGAGGGUUGUCAGAGGUGCAUUCUUAGGUAUGAAAGUGAAAUAGAUGCGUUCACGCAAAACUGUGCGUGUGGUUGCACUAUCUGCCAGACAACUAAUUUCCCCACUAGUCAUACCUAGAAUGAAAAAUUAAUUUGAAUUGAUCACAUGCAUAAAAGUUCUAAAAAAACAAAUAUGAAUUCAAAAUAAUUUUAUUUAUUCAAGGAUGGUAAUUAAAAAAAAACUUAAUAUCCAAAAACAAAUCACCAACAAAUAAUCCAAACAUAAAGGAAAAUUGUUCAAAAAUCAACCAACAAACAAAUUAGGGGGUUCGGCCACUAGGUGGAAUUCGGUCCCAAUGUCUUAUUUCAACUAAAAAAUAAAUUUAUGUCUAAGAUUCUAAUCUUCCAUAGGGGUGGUAUCCUCUUGAAAGUUAGAAACCUCCAUCUUUGUAGUCUCCAGUUCGUCCACUUGCUUGAAGUUUGAUUCAAACUUCUUACAACGAGAAUGAUAUUCAUCUAUAACAUUCUUGGGAGCGAGGCAAACACGGGACCAAUGGUCCUUUGAACCACAGUGAUAACACAUAUUCGCAUCCAUGGUUUCAGGUGCUUUGCCCUUAUUCUUGAAGUUCGGGGCCUUGGGAGUGAAGUUUGAGCACUUCACUUUGUUUCUUCCCUUAGAUGGGCCUUGACUCUGUUGACCUUGGUGGGAUAACUUCUGGCCGCCCUUACCAAGCCUCUUUUGGAAUUUUGGGCAUUGGUUUGUACUUCAGGCACAUCAGUCGCCCUAGGUCUAGCUUGAUGAUUCUUCAUCAACAACUGAUUCUGCUUUUCAACGAGAAGUAAAACAGAAAUUAAAUCCGAGAACUUAGUGAAUUUCUGACCUCUAUAUUGUUGCUGCAGGACAACAUUAGAAGUAGAGAAGGUCGAAUAGGUCUUCUCCAGGGGAUCCUCUUCGGUCAAAGUUUCAUUGCAAAACUUGAGAAGUGAUUGGAUUCGACAAACUUCAGAAUUAUAUUCAUUCACGGACUUAAAGUCUUGGAAGCGCAAAUGCUGCCUAUAUUGUCUUACUUCAGGCAAAAAUAUGUCAUUUUGGUGAUCAAAGCGAUCAGCCAAAGCGACCUAUAGUGCAUGUGGAUCCUCCUCAGCAAGAUAUAUCUUCGAAUGAAGAUCAUAGCAGAGGCUUUUUCAACUUCGCCAAUUGGGUUGUUCGUAUUUUCUUCAAUAGCAGAACACAAGUUUUUGGCUGUGAGGUGGAGCUUCACAUCUUGGACCCACUUGAGUUAGUUCCUUCCAGAGACAUCCAAAGCAGUGAAGUCAAGUUUGUUUAAAUUCGACAUGUUCUUAGCACAAAAUAGAUGGACAAGAUGUGGUUAGUGUAAUGGAGAAAAAAAAAUCAAUCCAUUCACAUAGGAGUAGAAUAUACAUGUUCUAAUAGACAUGUAUUGCUUUAUUUUUGGAUGAAAAACUUCGGAGUUUCAUGGGUGAUGUUUUUAAAUGAAAACUUUAGGUUUUCAAACAAGGCAUGUUUAUAAGAAACUUCAGGUUUCAAAUAAUUAUGAACUUCAGGUUUAUAUAUGACACUCCCCGAUCCGGAAUGUCCACUAGGACCCCGAAUCGAGCUGUGCUGGCCGCCACCUGGAAGGUGACGAAGCCAUAAAUGUUGGAAAUAUGCCCUGAAAGUCAAUCUUUGGAAGAAAUCUUUCAGGACAAAUGAAUGGAUGUAUGGAUGAAUCUUAUACAUCAAAGGCAAAAACACGAAUUAGGACUAUCUCAAAGAACGAUAUAUGUCCUAAAUAGUGUAUCCAUGGACAAUAGUUUGACUAAAAGAAGUAAUCUAAUGAUGUUAGAUUACAGAGACCUUCUUCAUAUAACCAAAUGUCCAAAAGGUUCCUAGUCAUUGGAUUGUCGGAGGGAUACUAACAAUACGUAGACUGGUACAUACUGUGUCUGCUUCAAAUGGAAGGAUGGAAAGUCUCAUCCCAUUCGUGUUGUGACACUAAGACAAGUAUGUAGGUGCUCAUUAGGGGAAUGAGUUCACUGAACACAAUCGAACGAGAGUACUUGCAUGGAGGUCUACUCACAUGUCAAGCAAGUAACUCUAAUGGUUGGAAUAAUGUAAGUAGUCCUUAGACCUGAGGCAUCGUCGUUGUCUUGUGGCUAAGUACUUAAUCUUUGAUUAUGUCAAAGUCUCCCCAUUCGAGGGUGUCCACGGCAUGAUUGGGGUUAAGCCACUUAGUCAUGAAGGCAAGUGUAUGCGCAACAAGGAAUCUCUAAUCCUCGAUAAGAGAGGAAGAAUGCUCUAAGAUAUGAUUCGGGAAUCUUCGGCCGAAGUAUCGAGCGUAUUAAAAGGAAUGCGUUCCUAUACGACUCAAAUGAAUCAUAUAAGAAGGAAUAAUCACAUUAGGGGUUUGACAUAAUAUAUCCAUACCCUAAUGAUGUGAUUGAGAGUAUUGUAUUAGAGAAGGAUCGAAUUACAUUGUAAUUCUAACUGAAUAGGUUCUCUGAAUAAACUUCUACAUUAGCUUGGGUAGCUAUGACAUAUGGUUAGAUGUCAAUCAUAGCUUGUGAGUUCUUCUAGAUGAUUAAAUGUAGUCAUCAAAGAAGAAUGGUGAAUUGAAAUGAAGUUUCAAUUCACUAAGUGAUUGAAUUAAUUGGAUUAGUGCCAAUCACCUCACUGCCUUGCUAAUUAGAACCUAAAAGAUUGUUCACCAAUACACUAUUGUAGUGAGUAAUUAAUGGAUGAUGGAAACAAUUAAUUGGAUUAAUUAUGUGUUGUGAUUAAUUUAGAAAAGUCUAAAGAAAUCAUAAAAGCGAUAAAGAUCGUUUUGGGCUUAAAGAAACGUUCGGGUUUAAUUGGGCCCAUUGGGCCUAAACCCAUUGGGCUUUUAUUCAAGCAUUGGAUGACUUGAAAUAAAUGAAAGCCCAAAGCCCAAACAACACAAAGAGGGCCGGCCACAUUAGGUAUAGAGAGAGAGAGAGAGAGGUCAAAUGUUGACUUGUUUUCUUUUGGCUAUAAAAGGAACUUUAUAGCAAAUGUUUCAUUAGGGUUUUUUGUGUGUUUAGAACAACAAAUAGGCAAAAGAAUAUCUCUCAAAACCACAACAAAGGGCCGGCAACCUAGGGGAUGAAAUAGCUAACAAUCUUUCACCCUUUUGGUUAUUCCUUCAUCCUUCUCACUACACUAGUGGGUGAGGAUCUUUAGAGGUUUCCUACUUUGGAAACUUGAAGAGAACCUAGGAGCACUCAUUCUUUCAAAGUGGAGGAGGCAAGGAGGGAAGCUAGGCUCAAGGAUUUCAAGGAGCAAAGAGCUUGGAGGUGGUCCAUCCUUGGUCUAAAAUCAAGAUCAAGAGGUAUAGAUCUAUUCCUUGACUUUGUUCUUGAUUCAUUAAAAUGUUUUGAUGCAUUAUAUAUAAACCUAUGAACCUUGAAGGGGAUUUACAUGACUAUAGCUUUGAUUUUAUUUGAUAACAUGCUUCCGUUGCUCAUGUAUAUAUGUUUUUGAAUUGUAUAUGCAUGAUAGUCAUCUAGAAAUCCCACAAGAAACUCAUAGAUUUCCCUUCAAUAAAGUGGUGAUAAGGAAAAAUGCGAAUAAUUUUAAACCUAAAGGUGCCUAAUAACAGAGUGCACUGUGCGUGGGUAUGAACCCAAAUCACAUGUGAUGUCAGAGCAUAGUAAAGUACAGCAAUAUAGGUAGAAACCGUACCCACAAAAGUAGCCACCUUAACAGGGACAUGCCACGAAUCCUCGUCGAUAAAGAACUUUGCUACUAGAACCUGGAGGGGCGCAAAACAGAAAACGUGAGUGGGCAAAAAUAAAGCUUUUCAAAACAUCUCAUUUAUUCAACAUUUAUAACCCCUCUCUGAAAAACCUGUAUACUUUCUCAGAAAAUAAUAUAUAAUCGUAUAUAAACAUAUAUAUAUCAUCAAAAGCUCAAAUCACAAUCCUUCAACGCUUUUCAGAAAGAAUAUGUCAUGCCAUGCCAUAUGCCAAAAUAUAAUAUGAAUGCAUCAAUAUAAAUCAGGUGAAAUAACAAAUCAACCGGAGACCCUAUAGUGGUCCUGUACGGCUGAUUCUAUAGCUCAAUAUCCCAUCCAGCCGGAGUCACCAACUGUGACCUGUACGGCCCUGCCGGAGUCACCAACUGUGACAUGUACGGCACUACACUGCACAUAAGUCGGAACUACGUAUAGUAGUCUGUACGACUAAGAUGGUGAAAUAAUACGCUCUAGUGCUUCUCUCAUCAAUCAUCUGCGCGCAUAAUCUAAGGUCACCCACCAGUCGGAACCUCUCUAAUGGUCUGUACGACUGGCAUGUCGGAACCACCUCUAGUGGUCUGUACGACAUCCACCUACUUGGAUCCAAGGCGAGCGUGCGGUGUGGUGAAUAAUAUAAGCACUAUCACCUAGGGUGCAUGUUAUGAGCUUUCAAUGCCAUUCACAUAAAUAAAUCGUCUGAAUAAUAUAAAAACUCACCUGUGCGUCCACAGCACCAUUUCACAUAUAUGCAUCAUAUACCAAAUCAUAUAAUUCAUAUAAUUUCUAUGUAUGGCAUUUCAAAACUCAUUUCAUAACGCAUUUCAUUUAACUCGAUUUCUGGGAAAAUCAAUAGUAUAUAGAUAUAUAUAGAAAACAAAUGCCCACUCACCUGGGGUCCGCGCUACGACUUCCUAACAUCAAAACCAAGGCGUCCCGAACGCUCGGCUCCUAAAACAGUUAUCAAACCACGUCUCAGAACUCUUAUCCAUAUAAUAUGAAAUUCACAUAACACAUAGCCACAAGGGCAUUCAAGAAUAAUGCGAGACCCUUUGAUCAAAGGUCAACCGUCGACUAAGUUCGACGGUAGGGUCGUAACCCCACAUAACUCAAUCUGAAAGAUCCACAACUCAGAUUUCCGAUCCGUCACUCCCCAACAUACACAUUAAGCUUCUAGAACAAUAUACUAAAAUUUCGUUACGAUCCGACGGUUGGAUAUCCGCCAAUUUCCAAGACUAAGUGGCGGUUAACCUUUUCUUUUAUGAACUUACAAAUCCAAUUCGGGAAGAUCCAUCCAUCGAAUUCCCGAUCCGUAAGUUCCCAAAUUCUUCAAAUAUUAUGUACUACUACAUAUCAAAGUUUAAUGAAGAUCCGACGGUUGGAUCUUCGAUUCACCUUUUUGGCCUAACCAUGAAUCGUAUCGAAUUUAAGUCCAAAUGAUCAACCAACGACAAACCACUAUCAAAACUGAAUUUAGGAUAUCAAACAUAGCCUAAAAAUAACAUUGACGGUCCACUGGCCAUGCGCCGCUGUGGGUGGCGGUCGGCCGCCCCGGCUCGCCGGAAAAUUCAACUAUUUCCAAAAAUUACCAAAAUUUACAGAAAUGAAGAUAUCAAUGAGUAGAGAAACUUUCAUACCUGUGGCCAAGGCCAAUUCGGUCGGCAAGGUCUCUAAUUUCAACAAAACCCGUCGGAAACCCUAGGUUUUGGGUGUGCUCAAUCCGUCCUCAAAUCAACUUCGCCAUCCCAACCAUUGCUUGGGCUUUGUUCUAGGCCUCAAGAGGAUGCCAUGGGUGGUGGCAAUUGAAAGAAAUUGCUUCGGGAUUGGGUGAUUCGAAGCUAAGACCGCCGCACCCUUCCUCGCGGGUUCCUCCAUUUUCAAGACCAAAUCUCUCCAAAUUUGAGAUGGAAUGGAUAGAAGGAAGGUCGUGGAGAAGUUCCUAAGUAAUUUCUUGCAGCAAUUCGACGGAAAAUGGGUGAAAAUCGUUGAAAUUGCACACGAGUGCCGACCGGGUUGAACACGGGUUGCGGGUUCCCUCAACCCGUUUCUCCUCCGUUCCUCCGCUUCUCACCCUCUCUCAUUUCCUCCCUUCCCUGUUCCGAUUGAUCAAUCUCUCUCUCUCUCUCCUCCCAAUUCGGCCAGCUCCCUCCUUUCUCUCCCGUAGCUACUGCAUCUCUCCCUCUGGUUGGGCAGCUUGCCCAACCUCUUCUUCUUCCUCUUCUUUUUCCUUCUUUCCUUUCCAUCCGCACCAUCCAUUUCUUCUUCUUUAAAUCUAGGCCAUCCAAAUAGCACACCAGAUUUUAUAAAGGAAGAAUCCAUAUUUUCUGAAAUUAAUAAAUUGAUCAAAUUUCAAACUUUAAUAACUUCUUUGUUAUAGCUCCAAAUCACGAACCGCUUACGCCCACGCGUCCGUAGUGACGAGUACUACAAGAAUAUGCCAAAAAAUCAAGUCUUACGUGUCAUGACAAGCGAUUAACACAAAUCAAGACAUAUGCCUCAAAGGGCCUUUUCGAAAUUCCACGUAAUACAAUUAUAAAAAUCAUAAUUUUUUGGGACGGGCUGUCACAAUAUAUUCCUGCAGGCAAACACAAAUAUAUACACAAAAAUAUGCAACAAGAAUAUGCAAAAAGUAUGGCUUUUAGGUCAAUAAUUAUAAUUGAAUUCAAUUAUUUGGACUUCGGGCCAAAUUAAAGAAUGGGUGAAAAAAUAUAAAAACCAUUGGCCCUAAAAUAAUUAGGCGAAUAAAGCUCGGGGCCCAAAAGAAAAACUACGUCCACGGGUGGUUUAAGAAAAAUGGUGCCGUGCAUCCUAGGCCUUAGGGUGGGCUGGGUUUUGUCUCAAGUGGGGCUGCAGGCCCACAGGGAGAAGAAAAUGGGUCGGGCCGUUGAAAGUGAACCCUUAAAAAAUUGCACACGAUUUUUUUUUUCACGGGUUAGAGGAAACCAAUCGGGCCGAGAGAAGGGUUUGCAACGGGCUUUGGCUUACAAACCCAAAAUCAAGUUUUGGUUUUAGAUUGGUCCGUGAAGAACCAAAGCCCAAAGGGCUAUGUUGUUAGACCAAAAGAACAACCUAACGCGUGCUGGGUGUGCUUUGCCGGGGAAGAAUGUCAGAUUUAGUUGACGGCAUUUCCAAGUCGGGGCAAGCCAUGGUUCGUCGGAGAACCAAGUGUUUGUCAAUGGAGAUGAAAUCUCAACGUCGAGGGAGAGAGAACCGAAUGAAUUCAAUUGAAUUCGAGAAAAAAAAAGUAUGAAAUUCUUCUGGAAUUUCGAGAAAUCGUUAUGAAAAACGAUGGGUGUUGUCCAAUUUUCACGAUUGCCAGUCAUGUUUAAAAAACCGACAUGGGAGACCUGGGCUUCAAGUCGUGGGUCGGGACGGUGGUGCAUCAAGUGCACCCGACCGGUGUUCAAUAUUGGGCUGGGCUUGCAUGGUGUGGCCUAUCGCCAUGGAUGGGAUAGUGCAGGGCACGAGUUCAAAAGAACCCUAGGUUUCCCGAUUUGGAUUUUUUUUUUUCAAUUCAAUUCAUAUAUAAUUCAAUUUGAUGCAUAUGCAAUUCAAUAAUUUGAUGCAUGUAAAUAUAUUUGAUACAAUUCAUGGCAAAAUAUCAAAUUCACAUAAUUUAAUAAUUAUGAAUAUAAUGCAUACACAAUUUAUGUAGAAUCUAAAAUUCGAAAAACGUAAACUUGGGUCAUGCAUUAUGGUAAAUGUUUAUGCUAUCAGGGCUGCAAAAAUAUUGAGAUAAAAACCGUUGUUUUGAAAGAACCUGAUUGCGUGAUGAUAUGGAUGAAUUGGUUUGAUGCAGAAAAAUUCUUCAACGUCAGAUUCCUAAGCGUAGCGGUAGGAGCGUGCUGAUAACAUGUUGUGGCCUAUUUUAUUUGACAAGGUUAUGGUGGUCGGCGUCAUGGAGAAGAGAGAGUGUGAGAAAUAUGUUUGUAGAAUUGUAGGGGAAUGUGUGUUGUUAUCCCUCAUACAUUGUGCCUUUACUUAUAAUAGUAAAAGAGAGAAGAUAUUUCUUCUUCCCCAAGUAAUACAAGUUGUAAUAGGAAAUGAUAACUAGAAUCAAAUCUAAUCUAGGAUUUACACAAUCACACUUAAACUAGGAUUUACACAAUCACAAUUCAUGACAAAUAUCCACUUUUUAUUUCAUUACUAUAAAUUGGCAUUGUCUCUUGCUUUAAUAAAGUUCCAUAAUUUCCCAAACAAAUAUUCCUCCAAAACAUAACACAAAAAAGAUGAAAAAAUAAAUUAAUUAAAUAAUGAAGUGAAGCUUACUAUGUAAUGUAUUUUAAUGUUUUGAACCGUCUUAUAUUUUAAAACAUUAUUCAUAGAUCAUCUUUGUAAAAAAUAGACAAGACAAAACCAUUCAGACAUUUAUUUAUAUAUUAUUACGGUUGAAAUUGUUUAUUUUUUUUGGGCCGUUUAUUGACUUUCGUUUUUAGUUUUAAUUUUUAAUUUUUAAAAAAGUAAAAAAAAAAUGUCAAAUGGCCUAUUAAUAACUAUGUAACUACCAUCACUACACAAGGAAAAAAAAAAUUCAACUAAAUUAAUGAUAAUUUAAUCGAGUGUCUGAACAAAACAACUCAAUUAAACAUACAAUAAUUUCCACAAUAAACCCACAAUUGUUCUGAUGUAUAUGCGUGACUAAACAACUAAUAAGAACGACCACGAGUUGGUGGUCUAGUGGUAAAUGACGGAUUACGAGGCUUUUUUAAAACUAAAAACUAGAGGUCUUGGGUUCGAAACCCGUUGUUGGUGUGGAAGCCAGACUUGUGGCCAGGGAAGGCUGAAAUGCCUCUGUGAGUUUUUCCAGCUCCCGAAAAUGGUGGAUAAUUAUGGCUUGCCACCAGUUGUCCUCCUUUUAAGAAAAAAAAAACAACUAAUAAGAAUUAAAUAAUAACCAAUUCAAGUAAUUUGAAACAAAUAAGAUCUGUAAACAAUAAUUAAGAAAUUUGAACCAUUUCAAUUAUAAACAAACGAUAUUAUCUACAUUAAGGGGGAGGAGGUGAGCUUAGCCUAACAAUGGGCUAGCAAUAAUGUAGUUCAAACUCGUAUUUGGCGAGAAUCGAACCUAAGACCGUUGAGUCAAAAUUGUACAUAAUAUGUAAACAAAUAAUUCACUCGACACAAUUUCACCCUCAUUCAUUUUUUUCAAAGAGGGUUUUAUUAAUUUAAGUUCGACUCAUUCUAGACUAUGCGUCUAUUAAUUACAAUCCUUCAUUAAAACGAAAAACCCUUUGAUUCCAAUAUGAAUAAAUCGUAACUUGGAGAUUUUGAGUGUUUGAUUUUUGCUACUGCACCUUGGUUGAGCCCUAGAUUGCCUGCGUACCUUCGUUGAGGGAUCAAGUCACUCGUAGUUCUUUAUGUAUUUGUUGGGGUUUGAUGCCUUGUGCAGUUUCAGCUCGUGCCAUUUGGGAUGUGAUAUGGCUUCGUGCCCUUUAAAACUUAUCGUGGGCUUCAUGCCAUUUGAAUUUAGAGUGGCUUUGUGCCAUUUGAGACUCUAUCUUGGCUUCGUGCCAUUUUGGGAUUUGAUACGGCUUCGUGCCAUUUGGUAUUUGAUAUGGCAUGAUUUUCACCAAUUUGAGGUGGUGAAUCCAUCGAGUUUUGUACUUUGAGAUAGUUCAGAUCCACGGUAUUUAGAGUAAUUUACAUCCGCGAAUUUGGUGUUGUCGAUGUUAUCUCCAUAAUCCUUUAUUUUGGAUUGGUUGGAUUCAACAUGUCUCCAUCACGCUAUUAGGCUCCUGUCAUUUGGUGCUCGUCCUCGGCUCUAAUUCAUAAGGUCUACAUUUACAAAGCCUAUAUGAAUUUAGAUGGGGAGUUGUGGCUUUUCUUUGUUCUCCACGUGGGUAGCAUUCCCACUUAACUUAAAGAGAUUUUGUUUUGCAGAAAGCUUAUUUCUUCUUCUAUUUCAAGACUUCAAAUUUUCUAAGUCCCAAAUAGGGCUUCAAGUGGUGGUGUUUGGAGAGGAAAACCAUAUUUUACCUUUCCAUUUAUUUUGCAUUUGCAUGGAAGACAACUGCCUUUUUUUUAAGUGACCACGUGCAUGGUUUAGAAGAUAAAUUUAUUUCUCUUCUUCUUUAUUGUAGUUUUCCUUUGCAGACUUAGCAAUCUCCAUUUUUUCCUUAUCUUUCGAAUUCCUGGCACAAAAGGCUUUGGGUGGAACUCUUGUAUCCCAUGUUAAUUUUGAACAAGAGAACAUUAGAUUAACUCCUGCUGGUUUUCUUCUACAAGUGAGGUUGAUCUCGAAGCCAUGGUCUUGCUGCGUUUGUCAUUUAGUCAAGUAUAGUUGCUGCACACCUCCGAGCAACGUCUUGCAUAGCUGUUGUUGGUGGCAAAGGCAAUGGUUCUUUUGCUGUUGUUGGCAGAGAAGCAAAUAUCUUUUAGCUAUUUAUUUAGAGAUGUGGCAAAUUUCCUUUCUUUCCUUUUGUCUUGUAGCAUCUGUCAAUUUGAUUUCAAUGCUUUUGGUUAAUAUUUUUGACCCAAUAUUUGAUCAAAAUGAUAUCCACAUUUAAGUCGUUUGAAAGACUUCUUCCUUCUUUUUGGUCAAUUCUUUGAAGCACGGUGCCGCUGACAUGUUUCUUGUUUUAUGCACAAAAUUUAAUCCAUGGGGGCCAUGCUCAUAAUGCUCACAUGAGUGGAAAGUUUUGGAGUAGCUUUUGUUUUCCUCUCUUGCUGUAGCUUUUUCCUUUCUACAUUUUAUAUUUUUUUUUGUCUGGUGUGGAUGCAAAUUUCCGUAUCAUUCUUCUUGAACAAAAUUGCACAUACAAAACAAUUAACACCUUAGGGUCAAGGCCAAGAGCCUCACGCGCUCAUGAUGAAUGGGGGGGCUUUAGCCGAAGAACCUUCGAUGCCAAAGUUAGAAUUUAGAGAGAAAAGUGUUUGGAGAGUUUUUUAGAGUUUUGCAAGAGUGUGGAACCUCCAUUUUUAGAGAAAAUUCAGUCAUAUUUAUAGGGCAUGGCUGGUCCUUUAUGUAUAUUUUGGGUGUUAUUUGGUGAUUUAAUUAGCAAUUAAUAUAUUGAUUAGGAAUUAAUAUAUUUAUUGGCUAAUUAACAUGAUAAAAUGAAUGUUUUGGGGAGGUUAUGUAAUUUGUGUGGAAGGUUUUGAAGGUUAUGGAAUGAUUUCCUUGUAGAAGAUAUAGAGUAAAGAUGGAUGAGAUAAAUUUGAACUUGUUACCUAUUUUUGGGCACUCUUGACUCGGUUGAUGAAUGAUUCUCAACUGCUCGCGUGUAGGAAACCAGGUGUGUCUUGAGGGUAAUUUUGUCCUCUUCACCUAAAAAUCCACGUGUCGCCUCUUGAUUAUUUUUGGCUCCACAAAUGCCCCCACACCUGCUGGGCUGCUCGUAGAAAAGAGCAACAGGUGUAGAGAUCUUUUUGCUCUAGGAAACUUAGAACUGCUUCCUAUUUUGAUGUAGAUUCCCUCUUUAAUAUGAAAUUAGAUCUUUCUAGGAAAGGGAAAUAAAUUUCUCUCAAAGCCUAUUUAAGUCCACCUUAAGUGGGUUGUUAAAUCAACUUUGGACAGCGAUUUAUUCUACCCUACAAGAGAGAGAAAGCUUAGAGGAUAUUUGUUCCCCCUCCUCUAGCAAUCCUCUACAUCUUGCCCGUGCAAAGGACCGUCUUUCGUUGCUUUCUUUGUCUUCUCCAUGUCGCACCAACGUAAUAAAAACUUAAUUUCUUCUUGUCUUCUUCUUGGGUGGUGCUACCACGGGGCAGUCGUCGCGGUGGUGCUGCACGUCGGCUGGCAGGGGCCAAGAAUCUGCUUGGCAAGGGCCAAUGAGGUGAUGUAGCAGGGGGCCAUUGCUUGAGCAGCUCGGCUUGAUUAAAGCCAAUGAUUGGUUUGGCAUAGGCUGAUGAAGUGGUGUGGAAUAGGCAAUUUUUUGGGCUGCCUGCUGAAAAUGAGGAAACUGCUUGAGUUUGAUUUUUCAACUGUCAUAGAUGGAGCAGUCAAGGAUGAAGCUGCCAAGAUCAGAGUUGUUGAAGAUGAAGUGUCGGAUGAGCGAACUGUUAAGUGUAAAAGUAGCUGCUGCCCCCUAACCAUUUGUUGUUUAGUUGAUCUUCAAGCAUUCGAUCUUUUGAACGAUGUGGCCUUCUCGCACUAGAUAGCUUACCCAAAUGGGUGUCAGUGAAUUAGUUUACCCUCUCGCACUGGAGAGCAAUUGGUUUACCCUAUCACACUGGAGAGCAUACCUAUAUGGGUGUUGGGGAAUUAGUUUACCCGCUCGCACUGGAGAGCAAUUAGUUUACCCUCUCGCACUGGAGAGUAUACUCAUAUGGGUGUCAAAGAAUUAAUUUACCCUCUUGCACUGGAGAACAAUUAGUUUAUCCUCUCGCACUAAAGAACAGACCUAUAUGGGUGUUGAUGAAUUAGUUUACCCUCUCGCACUAGAGAGCAAUUAAUUUAUCCUCUCGCACUGGAGAGCAGACCCUUUUGGGUGUCGGGGAAUUGGUUUACCCUCUCGCACUGGAGAGCAAUUAGUUUAUCCUCUCGCACUGGAGAGUAGACCCAUAUGGGUGUCGGGGAAUUGGUUUACUCUCUCGUACUGGAGAGCAUGGAAGUCGUUGUCGUGAGUGCAGCUCAGGAAAACUGAACUGCUGGGACAAUCGAAAUAAUCCUUAGCCUGCGAGGUCAUGUUUGGCGAUCUGUUUGAGACUUCAAACUGUUUGUGGAUCUCGCGUAAGGGUGUAAGCGCAGUGAGCUGCUCCCAGAAUUAUUGUGCCAUCAUUAGGUGUUUCGUCGUGUGCCUUUUUUAGGCUUGGUUGGCACGAGCCAUAUGGCAAGAUUGGCAUAGCUAGGAGCCACGGUGCAAUAUUGGCACAGAUAUGAGCCAUGAUGAUAGAUCAAUGGCUGCUGGAAGCCGUGGAGCAGGCAUGCGUGGUUGUGAAAUCAGAGAUGGGGCUGGCUUGGGCCAGGUUGUGCGCAGCGGGAGGAAUUGUCUGGAGUAUUGAGAACAAGGUCUGCCCCAGGUUCUUGGUAGUCAGGCUGGUGUGUCAUUAUGGUACUCGUCUGCCCCCGGCGUGUCGUAACAGAAAAAGUCUUUAUAUCCGGCAAUCUAUGAGGGGUAGUCCCAUUUGCUCGAUCUUGUCAUUGAAAGAUAACUCGCUUAUGUUGGUCAUGUCUCAUCAAAGUGCUUUGUCAAUAGCUUCGUUGCACGGGAAAUCACACAAUCGCUCGGUCAUGAGUAUUUCUACUUCUUUCUAAAUUUACCUUUGUUAGGGGUGGCAGAGCCCUCGGCUACCCUCGGUCGUGACCUGCUGGUCUAAGCUGCUCUUUCAUGUGUUUGACUCGUCUAUGCCGCGGCUGCGGUCGAUAUGGUAUGUUUCUAGCAAGAGAGCAAGUAACUCGCAGGCUACUGGUUGAACUUGAGCUGGAUUGAGUGAUUGCUUAUCUCCGUCCGCUGUGCUGCCUACUCCGAUGUAAGGUGGAUGAUGCUUCUUGCGGGCCUUGUCACGAAUGAACACUUUGCCUAGAAGGUUGCUCAUGUUGAUUAUCGGAGUGUGGCCCCAACCGUGAGUGUAUGUUCGUCCGUGGGCCUAAUCAAGAGUGCACGCUCCUCUGCACAUUAAGACGGGAGUAUACGUUAUCUCGAAGGCCCAGUCAGGAAUGUACACCGCCAGAACGCUCGGUUCGUAGUUGGUCGAGUGGCUGCUUACCAGGACAUUGCUGGAGAGGUUCUUCGUCUGCCCUUGUCCUACUUCGGGAGACCUUGUCUGGGGCACAUUGCAUCUUGGUGCGCUGCAAGAGCUGGUUCACUAAGGUCGUUUGUUGUGCAAGGGCGCUCGUCAACUCUAUGACUUGUCGAGACAAGUGUUGUUCGCCACUUAGAUUGGAAGAACUUGAAAGGAAUGUGCCUCCUUGGGCAGUGGAAGGGUGGUAGACUCCGGGCAUGAGAUUUGAAUUGGGAAAUGUCAAAUUCACGGAAAAAUGUGGUAAGAAUGCCUCCGACUCGAUGGUAGGUCUGGAUGGUUGAGAUAAUCUUGGGCCGACUUAAGCUGCUUGGAAAGCCACGAGAGCAAAUUGGGCCGCGGGAGUAGGCUGGGCCACAAGAGCAGGCUGGGCCGCGAGAGUGGGCUGCUCAGCGGGAGCAGGUUGCUCGGUGGGAGCAGGCUGAGCCACGGGAGUGGGCUGCUCGGCGGAAGCAGGCUGCUCAGUGCGUGAUGCAUGCGAAUGCGAGGCUUGGGCCUGGGCCCGUGCAAGCUUGGAUGGCAUGGCUUGGGCCAUAGUGGAACCUCGUAGUGGUGGUACCACUCCGCCUAUGACCACAUUUAGCCUCGUGGAUUGCCUCGGUCCCAUUUCUUGAGUAUUAGAAUUUUCACUUGUGGAAUUUUCUAAAUUUCUAGCCAUUAUAUUUUUCUUAUACGUUUUAUCAAAGAACCUUUGUAAAUAAAAAAUUAUAAUAAUAAGAACGUAUGAAAAAUAUUCAAAUGGACUAGAAAAUAGAGAAAAACUUUUUUAUGCGAGAGUCUUCUACGAGUAUGGAUCUCAACUCUUAAUGAAAGCACCAAUUUGUGGAUGCAAAUUUCCGCCUCCUUUUUCUUGAACAAAAUUGCACCUACAAAACAAUUAACACCUUAGGGUCAAGCCCAAGAGCCUCACGCACCCAUGAUGAAUAGGGGGCUUUGGCCGAAGAACCUCCGAUGCCAAAGUUAGAAUUUAGAGAGAAAAGUGUUUGGAGAGUUUUUUGAGAGUUUUGCAAGCGUGUGGAACCUCCCUUUUUAGAGAAAAGUGAGUCAUAUUUAUAGGGCAUGGUUGGUCCUUUAUGUAUAUUUUGGGUGUUAUUUGGUGAUUUAAUUAGCAAUUAAUAUAUUGAUUAGGAAUAAAUAUAUUAAUUGGCUAAUUAACAUAAUAAAAGGUAUGUUUUUGGGAGGUUAUGUAAUUUAUGCGGAAGGUUUUGAAGGUUAUGGAACGAUUUCCUUGUAAAGGAUAUGGAGUAAAGAUGGAUGAGAUAAAUUUGAACUUGUUACCUAUUUUUGGGCACUCUUGACUCGGUUGAUAAAUGAUUCUCCACUGCUCGCGUGUAAGAAACCAGGUGUGUCUCGAGGGUAAUUUUAUCCUUUUCACCUAAAAAUCCACGUGUCGCCUCUUGAUUAUUUUUUGCUCCAUAUCUGGCAUCAAGCUGACUUAUAAGAAAUAAUGGAAUUCUUAUAAAUUAAAAUAUGGCAGCCCAACAACUUGUUUCUUUUUAGAAAAAACUAAGUCUUUGAGAUGGCUUUUCCACCAUGUGUGAACUUGAGAGAGAAAGGCACGAGGACUCUUCUCUGUGCACAAAAAAAAUUGCGACAAUAAUCACUCUGCUAUGGAAAUUGAGGGACUUGCUACUUUCUUUCAACACUUUGUAAGACGACCAAUGAUGCGCAGAGGAGGGAAUUGAAAAUCCCUUUUCUGCAAAUCUUCUUUUUGCUACUACUGACUUGGACAACAACAUGCACCAUUUUUGGUGGACAUUACAUAGCAGAUGAGCCUGAACGCACUCCUUAUUUGUGCGGUCUCCCAUCUACAGACUGUCAGUAGCUGUGAGAAGAGACGAAGCUGAUUUUGAGCCUUCCACUGGAUGAAUAUGGCAUCCAAGAUUUGCACGGAUUUGGUACCUAAAUAUUUUCAUGUAGGUUUGCUGCUUGCUUCAUCUUUGUUUUUUUUUUGUUGGCUAUCUUCAGGGUUUCUUUAACAGGUAGACCACUUUUUGUUCUUCAACACCAAGCCGGUGCAAUUACCGAAAGAGACGUUGACGAUCUGAUUUUUAAGAGCAUUAGUUGCGGGGAGCGGAUCACUUAGACUUAGUUGGAACUUCAGGGGUGGUUUAGACCACCCAUAAGAAAUUCAUGGAGUUGACAGCAGCGGCAGGGAGUGGAUCACUUAGACUUGGUUGGAACUUCACGGGGUGGUUUAGACCACCCCAAAGAAAUUCAUGGGACUAAUGGCAGCGGCGGGGAGCGGAUAGCAUUGAAGAAGCAAAUUGCUUCUUUUUCUUUUUCCUGCAAAGCCGAGAGAAACCAAACAAAUAAAGAUUUAGAAGGAUGGAUUUGUGCCUUUGAAUGCUUUGUUGCUUUCCUUUGCCAUGUAUCCUCUUCUCUGUUUGCCCUUGUCUCCUAGAAUUUCUGCAACACUUUACUUCUUUGAUUGCUCUUCAACUUUCUGAAGAUUUCUGCCAUAUAUUCUUUUCUGUUGUCUCUUAAUUUCUGCAGCGUUUUUUUUGUUUUUCUCUCCUCCGUAUGCUUUUGUCGUGUGCCCUCCCCUUUUUAUAAACGCAAGGAGCAGUUCCAUUAACCUCUUCCAUUUUCUGUUACGUGUUCUACUUUCCCGGGGUGUGGGGAAGUUGAGGAAGGCCAUCACUUUACUGAGUUGAGAUGUGGGAGCUUAGGAGAGUUCUGGAUAGACAAGAACUCUAUUUUUUAGUCUUUGGGCAGAAAUGUAAUUCACACAACUAAAUUUUGUUGUUUUUUUUAAGUCUCACCUACUGUUAAAAUACCUCCAAUAUUAAAAAAAAAAAAAAAACCUCCCACUCCCUCCACGUACUCUCUCUCUCCCCCUCUCUCCUUCUUAUUUUCUAAAAAAAUAUGUUCAUACACACAAAAUGUGUAGGCAAAUGCUAAUAUAUAUAAUGUGAACCUUAUUUUUAGUCGGUCCACGUUUUGGACUACUAUUUUUUCUAAUGUAUCUCCAUCUUUAUAAAACUUGCUAAUAUAUUUUCUUUAUGAAAAUAUAUGGCUCAACAAAAACCUCUUAUUUACAAGUAAAAAUAAACACCAUUAAACCAUAAUAUUAACUGCCGAACCAUUUCAAUUAUAAAAUUUCAACAAUAAAAAGUGCUACAUUAAAAAAUAUAUAUAUAUAUCAAUAGUGAGGACGCUGAAUUAUUUGGACAUCCACGAAGUCAACUAAAAAGCUACGUCUCCUAGUCGAUUUUUCUUCAUUGAUUUCUCUUCUCUCUUUCUAGUCGAUUUUUUUGGAAUAAACAAAUGAACUGCUGCGGAGAGGGCCUCGCGGCUCCGGCGACGUCAGGGGCGGCCGUAUCGCCGCUCGAGUGGAAGUUUUCGCAGGUCUUCGGAGAAAGGACCGCCGGCGAAGAAGUUGAGGAAGGUAAGAGUAAUACUCUUCCCCUGAUUUUCGUUUCGUUUCGUAUUGUUAAGGAUUCACUAUUGCUUUCGUUCUCAUUACGUUUAAUACUAUUAAUUUAAUGUUAAAUACAUGUAGCGGAUGAUUUGUUGCAGAAAUUGUGUAUUGAAUGACGGGAGACGCCAAUGAAAUUUAAUCGAAAAAGUUUGGUCUUUUGAUGACCGAAGCAUUUGAGCUGAAUACUUAAGUUAUUGGCUGGUGGUUUUGUGGCUAUUAUUGAUUAAGCUAUACAUUUGGAGGUUGUCUAUUUGUGUAGCUGUCAGUUUUUAUUUUUCUUUUAAUUUAAUUCACUACAUUUUGAAGUGUUUCAAAAUAAUUAAAAGCACUUUUAGAAAAAAUGUGUUUGGGUUCUAAAAACACUUGAAGGACUUUCUGUAAGAACCACUAGUUAUGUGCAUCGUUCAGAAAACAUUUUAAGUGUUUUUCAAUAAUUUACUUCCAUUUUCACUCAGGGUUGGUUCUAAAAACAUUUUCACCAAAAAAAUUUUCAAUCAUUUUAAAAGCACUUUCAAACGAGCUAUGAUGUUGAUUAGUAUAGGGAUUCAUUUUCGAACAUAUUGUUGCAAUCGAUACAUGUAGAGCUAUAUUUUUAAACUUAAAGGCCCUAGAUUUGAGAAAUAAGUGAACUUGUUAAUCAAGUGUGAAGAACGCGUCAUUUGCGAUCAAUAGCUAUUCUUAUAUACCCGCUUUUGAAUUUCUGAAAAAGAUACUUUAUAGAGUGUUUGAGGGCAUUGAAGUGCUUGGUGCAGAAUUACUUAGGUUUGCUUACUUGCUGGUUGUUUUUGCAGUUGAUGUAAUAUCCGCUAUUGAAUUUGAUAGAACGGGGGACCACCUUGCCGCUGGAGAUCGUGGAGGCCGGGUGGUUUUAUUUGAAAGAACUGAUAUAAAGGAUGUAAGUUAAUACAUUUUUCUUUUGAGGGGUUUGGGGCAUGGAUGUGCAUUUUCCUUGUACUCAAUAUGCCGUUAUAUUUGUUACACUGGUGUGAUUUAGUUGUACUUUGAUGGUAUAAACUUAAAUAAUUAGCAUGGUGGACACCGGAGAGAUCUGGAGAGGAUGGAUUAUUCAAUCAGUGGGCAUCCUGAGUUCCGCUAUAAAACUGAAUUCCAAAGUCAUGAACCCAAGGUAUGACUUUCUUUGUGCUUAACGAGGACAAGUAUAAAUAGGCUUAUGAAGAUUUCCUCUUUGCUGGAAUCUGGAUUUGACUAACUUGCAUCCUAACUUGCAUCUUACUUGGUUUUUCCUGAACUCAGUUAGAUUAUUAUAAGAACUUGGAAAUUGUGGAAACAAUCAACAAGAUCAGAUGGUGUCAAACAGCUAACGGUGCACUGUUUCUCCUCUCCACUAGUAGCAAAACCAUCAAAUACUGGAAGGUAGCACCAACCUUUUGAACUCGUAUGUGGUUAUUUUAUAAAAGAUGAUUUCUCUCGAUAUCACAUCGUCCAGAGUAAUUUUAGCGACAUUAGUUGCAUUGCCCUUUCCAUUUAUAUAUUGUUCGGAACAAAGAUGGCGAUUACUUCAGCCAUUUCAUUUUAUACAUUAUUCUUGGGAUAAACACGCGCAUACGCACAUGCAGAGUGUAGUGGAUGAAUUGUUAUGCCUUCCAGUAGGCAGUACAACAACUUAAGAUAUAAUUAUUUUAAUUUUUUUAUUGUGGAAGGACACUAUCACUUCUGCUAGGUGGCUCACAACCAGGCAAUUGUGCAACAGACACUAUCACUUCCGCAAUACUACAGCCUGUAUGUAGCAGCCUCAUCAAUGAGUUUGUAGAACUCCUACUUUCAUAAACUUCAACAAGGCGGUCAAUUUGACCACAAAGUUUUGCAGCACCUCCAAUUUUUUUCCCUUUCUUAUCAACCUUCUUCUUUUGCAAUUCUCCUUGGUUAGCUGCUCUUUUUUUUCCCUUCCUAGUAGCUUGCCUUAGAUCCUGCAUAGUCUCAUUUUCUUCCUCAUCAUCUAAAUCAAUUUGUCCUAUGGAUUCCUCUCGUCUCUGGUUGUAGUACUCCAGAUGAAGGUGCCCAGGCAUGUUCACCCGUAGCAACUGUGUUCGAGAACAUCCUAUCUAACUUUUCCUCUAUCUCAGGACUAAUGCCCUUUUUUCGCAAUUUUCCAUGUUCUUUGUUUAUCUACAAGUAAAGAAAGAAUAUGGCUAAUACAUAUUGCAUGAUAUCAUAAUACAUAUUAAAAGAUAAAUACACAAACUUGAGUUUUAUUAUUCCACCACUCCUCAGAAGCAUCAACGGUACCCUUGCUCGAAUUCCACCCUAGGCCAGUUUCUUUACCAACUAGCUCUUUCCACAAUUUCCACUCAUUUUAAGUGCAUCCCAUUUAUUUUUCAGUUGCUUUCUUUCAUAAUCAUGUCCUGUCUUUGCCUUGAAGUUAGCUCUAAUAUUUGCAUAUCUAUCUUUGUCAAAGUGAGUGCCCGGACGAUGUCCGGCCUCAACCUCCUUGAUGCAUACAUCACAAAAUAUAGAUAUAUUGUGGGCAUUCCAUGUAGCUGUAGGAUUUGACGAAGAUGCCCCCUUCUUUGCCAUUGAUACCAACUAGUGAUUUGUAUAUAUACAUAUAUAUAUAUAUACAUAUAUUAAAACAAGAACAAAUAAUAUUGAUAACCAAGCAGAAAACAGGUAGUAAACCUAACAUAAGCAGAAGCAACUCGCAAUCAUAUAUGUGUGUGUGUGUGUUGGAGGUUUUCAAUGAUAAUCAUGAUUCAGCCAUUCCCUUUGAUAUACCGAAUAAACAUAUAAUGCAUCUAGCAUAUGCAUGAAAAAGAAUAUAGAUGCAGUGAAUUCGUAGUUGUUGCUCAGUCACAAUUGCCAUUGGAUAACCCAUGUGAAAAAACAAACCCACAUUGCCGGAAACAAGUAAUACUUGUGAGUAACAGCAAGCAGAAACAAAUAAUGACUUUGCUAACGCUGCCUGCUAUAAAAUCAAAGGCAUGCCCCCACAAAACUUAAAGAGUAAUUGUCAGCUGCUACCUGCAACUAUAUAUAUGCAAUCAGCUAAACUAACAAUGGAAUGAAGAGGUGCUCAAAAGGAUCAAACUUUCAGAAACCACAAUUGAACCCCAAAAAGUGGGAAGCUUUAACUCUCCACUCCUAAAAAACACCCACACAAAAGACUGCUCAACAACAUUUCAUAUCGGCACACACAGAGGAAUGAAAAGGAGAAAAUCUCAAAUUUAAAGAUAACCCAUGUGAAAAAACAAACCCACAUUGCAGGAAACAGGUAGUGUGUUUAAGAAACAAACAAACAAACAAACAAAGUACAUAAACAAAAAUUAAACCCUAAGAACUGAAAUUGCUUCAUGGAUCUCAUGAUAAUAAUUAGAACCUUAAUUCAAACCCCAAAACUGAAAUUUAGAGAAUUAAUUCAAACCCCAAAACUGAAAAUUAGAACAUUAAUUCAAACACCAAAACUGAAAUUGCUUCAACGAUGGAAGAGAGAGAGAGAGAGAGAGGGAGAGGGAGAGAGAGAGUUAUGUUUACCUAAUCAAUGAGAUCGAGCUCGUUCGUUGGUUGCCAAAUAAACCCUGUUUCAGAAAACCCCAAAAAAAUCGGUUCAUCAUCCAUGUUAGCUGCUAGAACCAAACCCUGAAUUAAAAUUAAACUACAAAAAUAGAAGCAAACUGGAGAGAGCAGCCAAACCCUAACCUAAAAAUUAAAUUAAUUCGAGUACCUGCUACCUGGAAGGCGACGGCGGUGUGGCGCUGAGACCGACGGAGAGAGAGGAAAAUGAGGAGUUGUGCAGCAGCAGGAGGGAAGAGGGGCGUGCGGAGUGUUUUGAGGAAUCAGGAGAAAGGAGGGGGCAGUAUUGGCAAAUUAGAACAAUUCAUUAACAAAGUACUGUAGCUCCAUGUUUUGUAUAAUAAGCCGCUUCUUGAAGCUGCUUCUUGCAGCUUCCACUUUUUGGCAUUUUUUCAUCUGAAAUUUUGAAAUAAAGCUAUUUUGGGAUGUUUACCAAACACCAAAAAUCUUCCAACUUUUUUUCAUACCAGUUUUUUUUUAAAUCACCUUAACGCUAAACCGGGCUAAAUCUAUGGAAAAUGGCGCAGUUGCUAGUUCUAUGUCAGCAAGCUCAAAACCGUAUCUUGCAAAUGGAGCAUGUUGCAGCUCAAAACUUCAUUUCCAGCCUUGCAGCAAUGACAUUAAAUUUAUUUCGUCAGUUUGACAGUUUCGUUUUUUUUGGUUUUGCCGAUAUUUUGCUUAAUUUUUUUUUCAUGUGAGUCAUCAAUCAUUUUUUUCCUUUACUUUAAAAUGACAUACCUAUUAUUUAUCUUGUCCACACUUGGACCAUUUGUGGACAUCCAGGAGAUCAAGAUGUGGACGAGCCAUGUGGCUAGAUGUCGAAGACUCUAUGACAAAGCUCAUGACUAUCAUAUUAAUUCGAUUUCAAAUAACAGGUACAUCUUUUUUUUUCAAUGGAAUAUGCCUUCACCUUUUCAUCUAUUUUUAAUCUUGUUUGUGUAGUGUCAGUGUUUGCCUUGAUGCUUGUGCUCCUAUUUGAAAAUUCUAUUAUUUUAUUACCUUAUCAUGGAGGAGCCAAUUGUGUAGUUGUCGGACUUCCCCCACCCCCAAAAGAAAAAAAAAAACCAGUUUCUGUAGCACACGGUGACACUAAAGAACAAUUUAUGUCACUAGAUGAAAAAGAUUUAUCUUCGAUGUCGAGUCUUGCUUAUAUGUAUUAGGCAGUAUAUUCUUUGGUAUUAUUGCAUGGAUAUAAUCUAACAAGGUUUCCAUCUUCUGGUCACUAAUAAUGUAGCUAUCUUUUGGUUUUGCAGCGGUGGUGAAAUUUUUUUAUCAGCUGAUGACCUUCGAAUUAAUCUUUGGAACCUAGAGAUUAGCAAUCAAAGUUUUAAUAUUGUUGACAUGAAGCCGGUAAACAUGGAGGAUCCAACUGGUAGAACCCACAACACUAUGAUGACAAUUGCUUACUUUCCUAGCUUUUAACUAUCAUUUGAAGAGAAAUGGUAGUAGACAUAACCUUGACCCAAUUAUUUGGAUAAUGUUUGCCGGCUUCCAAGGCUCCUGGUCUUCCAUUCAGUCAUAUUCUGGAUAAUGUUUCAUUAAAUGGCAUGCUCUUAUGUCUUUCUUAGAUUUCAUCUGUUCUAUUUACUUUGAUCUCCCUUUCAUUAGGUUUGGAUUGCUGAAAUGUUCUCGCCAUGUAGUAAACUUGAAUUAUGCCUUAUUUAUAUGCUUUGUUUGUCAAACAGCUCCACAUGUGUAAUUAUUUAUCCUUACAUGCUUGCAAUUUAUGUGCAGAGGCGAUAACAUCCGCAGAAUUUCACCCUACUCAUUGUAACAUGUUGGCGUACAGUAGCACAAACGGCUCAAUUCGUCUUAUCGAUCUGCGGCAGUCAGCUUUAUGUGACACUCAUUGCAAAUUGUGAGUCAUCUUUCAUUCUUCCUUCCUUCCAUUCUUGCACUCAUCAAAGAUGAUUUAGUAUUAUAAUAAAAUAAAUGUAUGAGAAAUCUUUCUGACACUUUUGCUGUCUUUAAUUUUCUUGGUUUGCUUUGAAUCGUAAUUAUGAUUUGUAACGGUGCAGGUUUGAAGAACAAGAAGUGCCCGGCUCAAGAUCUUUUUUCACUGAAUUACUAGCAUCAAUUUCAGAUAUUAAGUUUGCUCAGAACGGAAGACAUAUACUAAGUCGGGAUUACAUGACUCUUAAGGUUCAUAUAGUCAUACUCUUAUAAUAAGAUGGUUCAUACUUCCAAUAUUUAGAAACUUCAGUAUCAUUUGUCCUAGAAACAAAGUUGCAAGUAACAAACACUUAAAAACCUUAUUUUCCCUCCCUCCCUCCCUUCCUUCCAGUGGAUUGGUGACACGGGCAAUGCCCUCUAUGGAUGCCACCCCUCAACAUCUCACUGUUUCUGUCGUCCCUCCUUCCCUUCCUUUCAGUGGAUUGGUGACAUGGGUGAUGCCCUCUAUGGGUGCCACCCCUCAAUAUCUCACUGUUUCUGUUGAUUCCUCGGCUAAAAUAUUCCUUCCUUCCAUUGGAUUGGUGACAUGGCCAAUGUCCUCUAUGGGUGCCCUCAAUAUCUCACUGUUUGUGCCAUCCCUCUUUCCCUGCCUUCCUUACAGUGGACUGGUGACGUGGGCAGUGCCCUCUAUGGGUGCAGCCCCCAAUAUCUCACUGUUUCUGUUGCUUCCUCAGCUAAAAUAUGCUAAUGUUGUUACUGUGAUGUUUAGAGUUAGUACGUGAUAUCAUGAUUUUCAAUUUUGUGCUUGUGGUGAGUUUGGGCAUUGCAACUACUUCUUGUCUUCAGAUUUCUCUGAUUCUUAACCCUGUCCGUUACAAUUUUUGUUCUCACCUUUUCUUUUUGGGGUUUCUCAGUUAUGGGACAUCAACAUGGAUUCUGGCCCAGUUGCCACUUUCCAGGUUCAUGAACAUCUAAGACCAAAGGUAAUAUGUUCCUUCAAAAAGUUUGUUUGAUCACAUGUGAUCUUAAAAGAAGACGAGACCAAUUAAGUAAUACCAUACAAUGCAACUUAUUAAGUUCUUUACCUUUCUCAGCUCUGUGAUUUAUACGAAAAUGAUUCUAUCUUCGAUAAGUUUGAGUGCUGUCUAAGUGGAGAUGGACACCGAGUGGCAACAGGUUCUUACAGGUUAGACUUACACCAUACACAUCCUUUGAUGCUUUUGUACUUACUCCCUGACCUAAGUAGUGUGGGACUCAACGUAUGAAGAAACACAUUUCUGUGAUUCCAGCAAUCUGUUUCGAGUGUUUGGUUGUUCUGAAGGGAGCACAGAAGCAACAACAUUGGAGGCCAGCAAAAACCCCCUGAGGUAUCUUUUUUAAAUUCUAUAUAUGCUCGUCAGGCAUGCUAUUGUUAGGGCAUAGUAUCAUUUUGGUCCAAGAAAAACUCUUGUUUAUUUUCUUUUGUUCUCUUGGUCAAAUGUGCUUAUAAUUUUUCUCAUGAACUUCCAGGAGACAAGUUCAAACGCCUGCAAGGCCUUCUAGAUCUUUGGGCAACCUUCGUCGUGUUCUCAGGCGAGGUAUGUGCUUCCAUUGUAACAUAAAAGGUGCGGAUAACUCUGGAGCUGAUCCGGAUAACUCUGGAGCUGAUGCAAACGGAAAUUCUUUUGACUUCACAACAAAGUUGCUACAUCUUGCAUGGCACCCUUCUGAGGAUUUAAUAGCCUGUGCUGCUUCAGACACCCUAUACAUGUAUUAUGCGUCAAAGUAAUACGGAAAGUUGUCUGUCUUGGCCGGCAAAGCUCUUCCGAUUUCUAUUGACAAAAGGUUGCUUGCCUUCUUCUCCGGUUAGUGAUGUUAGCUGCGCCCUACCUAACUACAAAAUUUUUGCUGAUGUCAACAUUUUCAAGAAGAAAGUAGUAUCUGCCCCUCCCAUACAGGCGAUACCUUGCUGUUUAUGGUAACUCGUAAGGAGAAUACUGUAGUCCUAAUUGUGUCUUUUUAGUUGAAGAGAUGUGAUAUUAGCUCAUCAGCCUACCGAAAAAAUACCUUUGCUGCCACAGUAGAAACCAAUUGGGUCCUAUAUCCUGAAGCGGGGAGAAGCUGUAGUGGGCCUUGACUUGAACCUUGUAUUAUUUGAAGUAAAGUUAAAAGGGUUUGUGAAAUUUUUAUCACUGUUUUUAUUCUAAC
rnacentral:lncRNA from 1 species